rnacentral:tRNA from 1 species
GGACUAUAGCUCAGUGGCAGAGCACUUGCCUCACAUGUAUGAGGCACUGGGUUCGAUCCUCAGCACCA